rnacentral:rRNA from 1 species
ACGUAGGGUCCGAGCGUUGUCCGGAAUUACUGGGCGUAAAGCGCGCGCAGGCGGUCCGCGAGGUGUCACGUGAAAGCCCCGGGCUCAACUCGGGAGGGUCGUGGCAAACCGGCGGACUUGAGGCCGGUAGAGGUGGGUGGAACUCCUGGUGUAGUGGUGAAAUGCGUAGAGAUCCGGAGGAACCCCAGAGGCGAAGGCGGCCCCCUGGCUCGUACCUGACGCUCAGCCACGAAAGCAUGGGGAGCGAACGGGA